UACGAAGGGGGCUAGCGUUGUUCGGAAUUACUGGGCGUAAAGCGCAUGUAGGCGGAUCGCUAAGUCAGGGGUGAAAUCCCGAGGCUCAACCUCGGAACUGCCUUUGAUACUGGCGAUCUUGAGUCCGGAAGAGGUGAGUGGAACUCCUAGUGUAGAGGUGAAAUUCGUAGAUAUUCGGAGGAACACCAGUGGCGAAGGCGGCUCACUGGUCCAUUACUGACGCUGAGGUGCGAAAGCGUGGGGAGCAAACAGGG
rnacentral:rRNA from 1 species